CCCAGUUAACUGAGUGCUGAUCAGGAUUCACCACCUCCUCACUGCUCUCCUGAGGGUCUUAGCAAUUGCCACAGGCUAAUACUAAAGGGGGAGCAGGAGGGGGAAUAGGACAGAGACAGAUGAGACCAAAUAAAAGCCCAACCCACAACACACGUGUUGCUCUACCCCAAUAUGCUGCUUACAGCUUGAAGUGGUUUCCAGAAGUUGCUGCCAAACUAGUUCUUGAGCUAUCAGAAACUUUAAUCUAGUGCCUUGAAAAUACUGGAUGUGCUGUGACUAUUUCCCCUCUGCUUACUUCUCCCAUUUACUGUCCAAGAUUUCAUUACUCCCCAGAACACAGACCAAAGGAAGAGGCCCAAGAUCUGCUCCUCCCUCCACCCCCAAGCAGCUCGAUACCUGAUCAAUACACACACACACACUUCAGCACCAGGAGACAAGGACACUCAUAUUUCUCUAAAGGCAUCAGUUAUUCCUUGAGCCCUUCACUCUCAGUCACAGGCAGCAGAGCUAUGGAAGUUGUUUCCUACCUGCUGGAUAAACAUGCACCAAACCUUCUGAUCAAACACUGUGACUGCAGCUGCUGCUGGUGCACUGGGGUGGGGCAACUACUCCUACUCUUGGGGCAACCACCUACACUCAUCUGAGGAAAGUUCUGAAAACACAAUGCAGUUGGGAACACACAGCUGUGAAAUCCCUGCAUAAUCACAGGAACAGAUCACAUAAUAGAGCUGUUCCAGUUCAAGCCGUCAAGAGACUAGGAAAGGAAAAUAAGAGAAAGAAACGGCAAGCCCUGAAAAGGCUCGACCAUCAGCAAGAUUUUGCCUCCCCUUCUAAACUUUUAAUUCAAAUACAUUUCAGCAAAGCUUUUCAUUAUUCUCCAUUCUGCCAAUAGCUUCAGCUACAGAAAAGUUUUGGCGUGGGGAAGGCACAUUCAUAUUAAAACCAAGGCAUUACCCCUUAUGGCAGGUGGACUUUUCUUUCCCACUAGAAAGCCCCUGCAGAGGUUCAGGCUGCUCAGAGGAUGGGCAAUGGCCUUAUUCAUGUGCAGACAGGUUGGUGAAAACAGGUGGGACAGACCCAUCUCCAGCAGUGGCCAAAAGAGAGGGCCCAAGAGAUGCAGACACUUGGAAUUUCACCAGUCCCUGCCCUCAGGCACCCACCUUCUCAUUGGAGGAGAGCUCAGCAAGGGAAAGAAGAUAGAAGAAAAUAAGACACAUGGUUGAGGGGAAAGAAUCUGAGCAAUUCAAUUUUGCAAGCAGUCUGCAUACGGAAACUUGAAUAUCCAAUUAAGUUUGGCAAUAGCAUGGGGGCUUUACACAUAGCUGGAAUUAAUUCUUGUGCGUCUUCCUACAGAAUAUGAAGCAGCAUUGUAACUAAUUCUUGUCAGAUGGGAUACCAAAGCAUUCCCUAAACAAGAGAUUCUGGUAUAAAGCCAACAUGUAACAAAAAUAAAAUUACUGCACAAGUUCAGUAGCAGCUAUAAGUGCUUAGAUGGCACUUAUGUCCAUGAAUGAUUUUUUGCUGCUCUUGUUAAUUUAGAAGAACAUGAAACUCAUCCAAAACAGUAACUGGUGGUGUUCUCUAAAACCAAUUGAACUUACCAUGUUAAAAAAAGCAUCUUUUUAAAAGAUAAGACUUCUUACUGUACCCUUUAUUAUACCUUAUAAAGGUAUACAAAGCAGUGCAGUACUGGGGAUGACUACGUGUUCUUCUGAGGGCUGCAC